GAAAAGGGGAGCUUGUAUGACAGGCUGAGAGGAAGGUAUGACCUUCGACCCAUGAACCUGAUUUGGAUAAUGCCAACGUAGGGAUAGUUUC
rnacentral:ncRNA from 1 species